rnacentral:rRNA from 1 species
UACGGAGGGGGCUAGCGUUGUUCGGAAUUACUGGGCGUAAAGCGCGUGUAGGCGGGGCUUUAAGUCAGGGGUGAAAUGCCAAGGCUCAACCUUGGAACUGCCUUUGAUACUGGAGACCUUGAGUCCGGGAGAGGUGAGUGGAAUUGCGAGUGUAGAGGUGAAAUUCGUAGAUAUUCGCAAGAACACCAGUGGCGAAGGCGGCUCACUGGCCCGGAACUGACGCUGAGACGCGAAAGCGUGGGGAGCAAACAGG